AACGAACGCUGGCGGCGUGCUUAACACAUGCAAGUCGAACGGAAAGGCCCUGCUUUUGUGGGGUGCUCGAGUGGCGAACGGGUGAGUAACACGUGAGUAACCUGCCCUUGACUUUGGGAUAACUUCAGGAAACUGGGGCUAAUACCGGAUAGGAGCUCCUGCUGCAUGGUGGGGGUUGGAAAGUUUCGGCGGUUGGGGAUGGACUCGCGGCUUAUCAGCUUGUUGGUGGGGUAGUGGCUUACCAAGGCUUUGACGGGUAGCCGGCCUGAGAGGGUGACCGGCCUCAUUGGGACUGAGAUACGGCCCAGACUCCUACGGGAGGCAGCAGUGGGGAAUAUUGCACAAUGGGCGGAAGCCUGAUGCAGCAACGCCGCGUGCGGGAUGACGGCCUUCGGGUUGUAAACCGCUUUCGCCUGUGACGAAGCGUGAGUGACGGUAAUGGGUAAAGAAGCACCGGCUAACUACGUG
rnacentral:rRNA from 1 species